CAAACGGCUGUUUUCACCGAUUAUUUUAUUCACAGCCACUUCACAUGAAAUUGACAGUUUUAU
rfam:Poecilia formosa, whole genome shotgun sequence.